CGGUAAAUUACUAUAUAGCAGAGCAUUCACGAAUUACAAAGUGUAAGAAGGUUGAUUUUCCUAUCAAAAUCAGAGAUGACUUUUUCUAGCUUAUAGAAUAGUUGCAACAACAACCAUUCUUUAAAAAUAUGGAACACUAUUAAAAUGGCUAUAACUUAGCAUUGUGUUAUUUUCCCAAGAAGAAAACUAAACUUGAUACACUACCAGAAAUUAUAACAAGAGAAUACGAUUCAUUUUCUUAUGCCACUUAAAAAGCAAGAGGAAAACCAAGUUGCAUGAUAUUGAGGUUAAGAUUUGUACGUAGACACCAUUUAUAACUCUAUCAUGUUAUAUUUAGUAGGUGCAGGAUUCAAAUUCUGCUAUAGGUCCUUCCUCUUUUUUCCUUGCCCUUUUCUCCAUUCACGGGCCCACCCUUCCUUCAAAAAAUUUCAAAAACAAACAAGCCGUUAUUUUCCUAAUUAGGUGUAUGAUGAGCAAAAUUAGUUUCAAAGAAAUGCAUAAACAAAAAUGAGGAAAUGAAAAGGAUAGUGGCUAGUUCAAGAGAAUAAAUCCACAAGUAUUGAGUAUGACCCGCUCUAUUAAUCGAUUACGCGUCUUGGGGCUUUGAUUGUGCUUUCUCCUGCUUUUUGAAUUCUAAUUUCUUGGCCGUGGAAGAAAUGCUGAUUUUGAAGGAACAAAAUGGGGAGGCAAUUUUGCAACUUGACCUGGUCUGUAUCUUGCUACUUGACCUGGUCUCUAUCGAUCCAGACCAUGGACGGGUUGAGAUUCAAUUGCCCCAGGCCUGCUUGGAGCCUGGACUAUCAAGGCCCAAUAAUGGGGGAUUUGCACAAAUAUGAUUAUUUCGUGCUAUCAUUUAAUUUUUUAUUCCAUGAAAAGAAGUUUUGGGAAAAUAACCCCACAACAGAAUUUUGAAGCACGAUGGUCAUCAUGAUUCAUAAUUAGGGUACGAUUUUUAUUAAUAACAAGUUAUGAUAAUCGUCAGGCUUUCUAACCAAAUUUCGGUGAUCACCAUAACAUGAUGUGUAUGAACUAUGAACAUGGUAAUCAUCAUGAUUUUGUCACACAUUCUUACGGAUCACCAGAUUUUUCAGCAUUUGUGGCUAAAAACUCUGGUCAUCGUCAGAAUUUUUGACCAAAAUCCUGAUGAUCACUAUAACACGUCGGGGAGAAAUUUUCCAACAUGUUAUUUUUUUAAAAUUAAUCCAAAUUAGCUUCAAAUGAUUUUAAAUUUGAUAUACCACAUUCUACCACCAAUCGCAAUAAUUACCAAUAGAUAGAUUCAAUCUAAAUCUUCAAAGUAAAUAGACUCACACUAUCUUCUUCAACAUAUAUCUUUUCAAGCUCAAUAGAACCCAACAAUGGUGGUUUUAAAUUUUCUCCAAUCAAACAAAUUUAAGUCAUUAUUUGAAUGCUCAAAAUUUGUAUAUUGGAAUAAGAAGAAGAAUAAGAAAAAGAUGGAUAAGGAGGAGAAAGAAGAAGAAAGAGCAU
rnacentral:lncRNA from 1 species